ACUGAAACACCUGCAGCGACACAUGGAGGAAACAGAAGGGUCACAGGAACUGGAACCGAUCAGCCCAUCAGAGUUCAGCUGAGCUGAAAUGUGAGCCGUGGGUGGGGAAAUGUGAAACAUCACCAUAUGAAAACGCUCCGACCUCAACUCCUCCGUCUUCGUUUGACGUUCCACCAUCACGUUCCUGUCAGUGUUUUGUCACUGUGCUGCUCGGAGUACACAGGGAUCGAUGCGGCCGCCGUUCGCCAGUGCUCCUGUGUGAAACCGCAGACAGCUCAGACGGCUCCUCACCGUGUUGGCACAUCACUGUCGAUUAAUGUCAGCUCACGUCCACACUCUGACAGAUGAGCGCCGCGUACAGCAGCGGCUGCUCAAAGGUAAAGGCUAAACAAAGCAGAAACCAGUCUGUACGGACCUGAAGAUGGGACCGAGUGGAGCUGAAGGCACAAACAAACGCGGGCGAACAGAAAACGCAGACGUGAUGCAGAGAUACGCGUGUCUGUGUGUCGUUAGCAGACAGUGAGAGGCUGCUCUCCAUGUUGAAAACCACACAGACUCAGUGUAAAGAAUGAGCCUUUGGCUACGACCUAAUAAAACUGACAGAGUUCUGUUCCUCGGUUCCACCAACAGAACAGUCAGACUUGGAGAGAAAGUCAUUUAUUUUAUUAUUUGUCUUUUACUAUUUGGUG